UAAUACGGAGGGUGCGAGCGUUAUCCGGAUUUAUUGGGUUUAAAGGGUGCGUAGGCGGGGAAUUAAGUCAGCGGUGAAAGUUUGAGGCUCAACCUUAAAAUUGCCGUUGAAACUGGUUUUCUUGAGUAUAGAUGAAGUAGGCGGAAUUUGUGGUGUAGCGGUGAAAUGCAUAGAUAUCACGAGGAACUCCGAUAGCGCAGGCAGCUUACUAAGGUAUAACUGACGCUGAUGCACGAAAGCGUGGGUAUCAAACAGGAUUAGAUACCCUGGUAGUCCACGCAGUAAACGAUGAUUACUAGUUGUUUGCGAUAAGACAGUAAGUAACUAAGCGAAAGCGAUAAGUAAUCCACCUGGGGAGUACGCCGGCAACGGUG
rnacentral:rRNA from 1 species